GUUAGGAAUAUUGGACAAUGGGCGCAAGCCUGAUCCAGCCAUGCCGCGUGAGUGAUGAAGGCCUUCGGGUUGUAAAGCUCUUUAGUCCACGAAUAUAAUGACUGUAGUGGAAGAAUAGGCCCCGGCUAACUUCGUGCCAGCAGCCGCGGUAAUACGAAGGGGGCGAGCGUUAUUCGGAAUCACUGGGCGUAAAGCGUGCGUAGGCUGUUUUGUAAGUCAGAAGUGAAAGCCCAGGGCUUAACCCUGGAAUUGCUUUUGAAACUACAAGACUCGAAUUCGGGAGAGGAUAGCGGAAUUGUCAGUGUAGCAGUGAAAUGCGUAGAUAUUGACAGGAACACCAGUGGCGCAAGCGGCUAUCUGGACCGAUAUUGACGCUGAGGCACGAAAGCGUGGGGAGCAAACAGGAUUAGAAACCCGUGUAGUCC
rnacentral:rRNA from 1 species